rnacentral:rRNA from 1 species
UCUGGUUGAUCCUGCCAGAGGUUACUGCUAUCGAGGUUCGACUAAGCCAUGCGAGUCGAAUGUAGCAAUACAUGGCGUACUGCUCAGUAACACGUGGACAAUCUACCCUUAGGUCUGGGAUAACCCCGGGAAACUGGGACUAAUACCGGAUAUAUCGCGGAGGCUGGAAUGCAUCGCGAUAGAAAGCUCCGACGCCUAAGGAUGGGUCUGCGGCCUAUCAGGGUAGUAGUGGGUGUAAUGUACCUACUAGCCUACGACGGGUACGGGUUGUGAGAGCAAGAGCCCGGAGAUGGAUUCUGAGACACGAAUCCAGGCCCUACGGGGUGCAGCAGGCGCGAAAACUUUACAAUGCUGGAAACAGCGAUAAGGGAACCUCGAGUGCCAGGAUACAAUCCUGGCUGUCGUAAUGCCUAAAAAGCAUUUCAUAGCAAGGGCCGGGCAAGACCGGUGCCAGCCGCCGCGGUAACACCGGCGGCUCGAGUGGUAACCGCUAUUAUUGGGUCUAAAGGGUCUGUAGCCGGCUGAAUAAGUCUCUUGGGAAAUCUGGCAGCUUAACUGUCAGGCUUUCAGGGGAUACUGUUCGGCUCGAGACCGGGAGAGGUGAGAGGUACCUCAGGGGUAGGGGUGAAAUCUUGUAAUCCUUGAGGGACCACCAGUGGCGAAGGCGUCUCACCAGAACGGAUCUGACGGCAAGGGACGAAAGCUAGGGGCACGAACCGGAUUAGAUACCCGGGUAGUCCUAGCCGUAAACGAUACUCGCUAGGUGUCGGCCACGGUGCGACCGUGGUCGGUGCCGUAGGGAAGCCGUGAAGCGAGCCACCUGGGAAGUACGGCCGCAAGGCUGAAACUUAAAGGAAUUGGCGGGGGAGCACUACAACGGGUGGAGCUUGCGGUUUAAUUGGAUUCAACGCCGGAAAUCUCACCGGGACCGACAGCAAUAUGAAGGCCAGGCUGAAGACCUUGCCGGAUUAGCUGAGAGGUGGUGCAUGGCCGUCGUCAGUUCGUACUGUGAAGCAUCCUGUUAAGUCAGGCAACGAGCGAGACCCA